GGGGACUGUGGGCACCCUAUCUCUGUCCUGCAUGGUGCUGGAGUGGUCUCACACCAGCACAGCUUGCUCUGGUGAGUGUCUGCUGUAGAGCUGAAGGACAGUGGGACCAGGAGAGCCUGAUGCUCAAGUUGUGCAGGAAUGUCAACACGACGUUUCCCCAAAUAAUUGUUGGGUUCGGCCUCACUCAAAAGAACGGUGAGAAGGAGAGGAAGGAAAAGGGAUUUUUGCAGCUCCCAUUUGUGAGGCAGGAAAACGUGACAUGUGGGGCAAUGGAAACCCAGGAGCACGGGUUUGCAGCACUGGAUGCUGAUUUGACACUGGGCUUCUGCAUGACUUCAGCCUGGAUUUUUUUUUACAGCAGGGGAAGUUUGUGGGACAACAAGUUUUCCAUUCUCAGAAUCGGAGUGUUGGGCUGAGCACACAUUCCCUCGCUUGUGCCUGCACUAAACAUGCUCUGUGCACCCAUAUGUGAGCAGCAAUGAGACCUGCAGGCAGACCCAGCCUGCCCACAUGGCCAUGACCAUGAGUCUGUGUACAGGUGCUUGUGAAGUCCACCUUCCUGUUUCCAGUUUGGAUAAAAGCAAAAGAACGAGAAGACUGAGCUGCAGGAGUGGCCCCUGCAUGGCUCUGCGUUCGGAGGAUCCUAGGAGCAGAGGAGAAUGGGCUCUUGCUAAUCUAAUGCUUUGCCCUCCUCUAGUGGUACUUUUGAUCUGUGUCUCUCGAAGGAAUUGCUGGCAUCGGUGCUGCAGCCUUGUGCUGGCUCUGUGGCACAGUGGAAGCCCCGAAGCGUGGGCAGGGCACCCACCUCACCCACACCUCCUCCAGUGGUGGUGGAGAUUUAAUCCAGUCUUCAAAGGAUGACUUUUUUCACGUCAGCUGUGGUGGUGUUGUAUAGAGCUCACCACUGUUGCAUUGCAGACAAGCAUAUAGCUGCUAUAGAGGUGUGCUGAUGUUUUCAUAGAAUCCUUUGGGGUAGAAGGGACCCCUAAAGGCCAUCUGGUCGAACCCCCUGCAAUGAGCAGGGACACCCACAGCUCCAUCAGUGCUCAGAGCCCAUCCAGCCUGCCCUGAGUGUCUCCAGGGAUGGGGCAC